GCUGAGGGCAGCAGGAGGAAUCGCUCUGGCUGCGGAGGGAUGAGAGGAGAGAAUCCAGCCCCGGGCGAGGAUGCGAUGGCUCUGCCGGGACCACAAACUGCUCUUUGCCACACAGCCCGGCCUGGUUGUGCAGGCCAGCAGAGAAAUGUUUCUGCCCAGCCUCCCUCUUGGAUCCAACCAUGUGAAAACCUCCUUGUCUCCCACUGGUUUUACCACCAGCGUGAGCUGGGAGGGACGGCGAGGGCUGAGCACAUCUCAGGCUGAGCACCAGGGGAAAUUUUCCAGCUGCAGGAACCUGCCCUAGGCAGGACAGGGAUCCCAGAGCUCACUCUGGGACAGAGGAAUGAACAGUUCUGAUCCCCCCUUCUGUUUGCAGAGAUAUUUUUGUUUCCCAGCCUGGUCUGGGACCUCUUCCCCGGUGUUCCUCCCAGCCCUCCUGCUGCUGGGACAGCGGGCCGGGCUCGUUUACCCCAAUUUGCUGCAGUUUGUAAAUCUGCCUGCCCGGGGCCGGCCCCAUCUGCAGCACAGAGCCUGGGAAAAGGCUCGGACGGAUUCCAUUUCUCGUCCUUACCUCCGGG